rnacentral:rRNA from 1 species
CACGUAGGGUGCAAGCGUUGUCCGGAAUUAUUGGGCGUAAAGGGCUCGUAGGCGGUCCGUCACGUCGGGAGUGAAAACUCGGGGCUCAACCCCGAGCCUGCUUCCGAUACGGGCGGACUAGAGGUAGGUAGGGGAGAACGGAAUUCCUGGUUUAGCGGUGGAAUGCGCAGAUAUCAGGAGGAACACCGGUGGCGAAGGCGGUUCUCUGGGCCUUACCUGACGCUGAGGAGCGAAAGCGUGGGGAGCGAACAGG